rnacentral:lncRNA from 1 species
AGAGGUCAGAGGUCAGAGGUCAGGGGGUGAGUGGUGCGGCUGUGGGGUGAGCUUGGGGUCAGGGGUCAGAAGGUCACGGGGUGAGGGGUCACAGGGCUGCAGCUGCAGUGCUCUGAGAGGUCAGAGGUCAGGGGUCAUGGGGUCACGGGGUGAGUGGUAGGGCUCUGGGGGUGAGCUUGGGGUCAGGGGUCAUAAGGUCACGAGGUCACAGGGUGGGGGUGCGGCGCCCACCCCUCAGUUUGCGCAGCGACGCCUCCACCUCCGUCUCAAUCAGCGGGAAAUCCUGCCGGCUGGGGCACCUGCGGGCACCGCGUCAGCGCCCCAUAGCGCCCCAUAGCGCCCACAGCACCCCAUACAGCCCCACAGCGCCCCAUAGCGCCCCAUAGAAACCCCAUAGCGCCCCACAGAGCCCCAUAGAGCCCUAUAGAGCCCUAUAGAGCCCAAC